rnacentral:lncRNA from 1 species
AAACAAGUGAUGCACAGUGCAUUUUGCUCAUCACCUAAUGACCGAUGCCCAGCCAAUCCCUAAGUGGCUUCUGCCCCCUGGCCAACUCUCCACAGUUUUAUAGUUCUUGCAUGAUGCCAUAUGGUGCUCCUCAACAUCUUCAUCAGUGUCAUAGACAGUAGGAUCAAGUGUACCCACAAUAUGUUUGCAAACGACACCAAGCUGUGUGGUGUGGUUGACACACCUGAGAGACGUGAUGCCAUCCAGAGAGACUGAGGCAGGCUCAAACACUGGGCCUAGGUGAACCUUGUGAGGUUCAACAAAUGCAAGUGCACCUGGGUUGUGGCAACCCCUGUUAACAGUACAAGCCUAGAGAAGAGGAGGCUCCAGGGAGACCUUAGUGACCUUUCAAUAUCUAAAGAGGAACUCUAAGAAAGAAGGGGACACACUCUUCAGCAAGAUCUGUUGUGACAGGACAAGGAAAAAAUGGUUUCAAACUAAAAGAGAGGAGAUUUAGGUUCGAUAUAAGGGAAAAAAAAAAAACGUUACAAUAAGAGUGGUGAGGCACUGGAACAGUUUGCCCAGAUAGGUGGUGGAUGCCCCAUCCUUGAAGACAUUCAAGGUCAGGCUGGAUGGGGCUCUGAGCAGCUUGAUCAAGCUGUAGGUAUCCUUGUUUAAUCCAGGGGAGUUGGACUAGAUAACCUUUAAAGGUCCCUUCUGACUUAAACCAUUCUAUGAAUCUGUGAUGUGUUCUGUGAUUAUUUCUGAGACGAAGAUUCCAAUUCCACAUAGAUCUGCUGUAGAAAGAUAUGCUGUAGGAAAAUUUCAGUGCAGAAAAGUCAUUUUGUUUGAUUACUAAAGGUGAGAGCAUUGUGCAAUAUUGUCUGUUUUAUUAAAAUGUGUGAUUUUUAGACAAUGUCUUCAGGAGACAGCAUCAGCCAGUGUGUCCUUACAGGUUCAGUCUGCUUACAAAGUGUUGGAAGUACAGGCAAUUGAGAGAUUUUGCCUGAAUCAUAAUGCAUGUUUACCUAUAAUAACGAUCCCUUUAAUGCUAUUGGCAGCUACAGGAACUUUUGCCAUUCUCCUACUUGCAAAGAGAUUGGAGUAUUACAUAACAAAAAAUUGCUUUAUAAAUCAUAGUUUUUGGCGCUACUGGAAGAAAGUAUUACUUGAGCCCCUUUUGAAGUCUGUAACGUGAAGCUGGGCAUAAUGUUCAGUGGAUGUUCCUGACCAGAGCAAUAGUUUAAAAAAAUACACUGAUCAUAGCACUGAGCCUGCUGCAGUUCAAGAAACAUUUGGACAAUGUUCUCAGAAUUCAAGUUUGAAUUUUGGAUAGUCCUCUGCGGAGCCAAAGGUUGGUCUUGAUGAUCCUUGUGAGUCUCUUCCAGCUCAGGAUAUUCCACAGUUUUAUUCAUCACCAUAUUGUAAUUGAUUUUUGUGGAGAUGAAAUGAGAUAACUAUGGUAUAUUUACAGGUUAGAAAUGCAGAUCUCUUUGUUGAGUGAAGGUAUCUUUGUGUAUUUUUGAAGAAAUUAUCAAUGUUCGUGUGUCAGCCUUUCUAUGACAGUCUCUGUGAGAUACGGGGUUGAGAACAUUUACCCCAACCUCAUUAUCAACCUCAAAGUGAUUCUGCAUAAAGUGAUUCUUUAUUUUCUUUGAAUCUUGUCUUCAGUAAAGAGCCAAUUGUGUCUUGUCUGUGUUAAUACUAUUUGUGAUUGUAUAUAUUAUGUCUUAAAAAAAAAAACACUUUUUUUUUAAAUUUUAUAUUUACAUGGUAUAUACAAGGAAAGGCCUCAUUCCGUGAUUUAGAUACAGCCCAUGCUUUUGGAGUAGAGUGUUCUGCUUAGGAAUUAGCAUCCUGCUGGAGUUGUCACUGGCUGUUCACCCCAGAGGCAAGCAAUAAUUGAGUGUGACUACACUCAAGAAAUACUAAUGUUUUUCUCAAACUGAUGUCUUAACCACCUCCUGCUUUGAAAAAGCUGAAAUCUCUUCCUGAAUGAGGAAGAGAAAGAUGCAAUUUAAAGCCAUUAGCGAAGAUAACUUGAAUUGUAAAAGAUAAUGAAGAUUCUCACUACUAAAAUGAUGUCCAUUCAUGUGAUUUAGAGACAUUAUUGAAUAACUGGAUCCUUAGCCCAGAGUUCGUGAACACCUAAUGGAGUAUUGACUAGAAUCAUGAAAGGCAGGAAUAUUAAGAGCAGGCUCCUUCAGGCUAGAGGUUCUUGUGGCAUAGGUAAGUAUUCUCUCAACUGAUGUGUCUAUCUAGGUCUUGUAAAUAGUGUUUGUCCAUCCUGCUGUAUAUGAAAGAUUGAAACAAGUUCAUCAGAGGUUCUGUAUGCUCUAAUCUGCUCUGGCAGUGAGGAAAGAAGAGCACCUGCACCUCAAGGUUCCUAGAAGGUAGUAGAGAAAUGACUCAAAUUUGUCUUGUGUUCAAAAUCAUUAACAGAUCACUUAGCCAUCCAGUUGCUGAAGUUUUCUCUUCCUAUUCCUGUGCUUACAAAAUAGUAGGUAGUCUUCUGGCUCUUUUAAAACCUAAAUUCUUAAGGGUACUAAAGCUUAACAGAGUAUGUGUACUCUGAUCUUAGUAGCUGGAAACAACUGUUUUUACUUUAACAGUUGGAGUACUUCAUAAUUCUGGAUGACUAACUCAUUCACUUUCUGGGGCCUCCAAAAUACUGACACAUAGCUGCAGACAUCUUCCUGUAGCUGUGAAAGUAUUGCAAGUGCAAACACAAACACUGUUAAUGUGAUGCUGCUCACACCAACAUACUUCUAAGAACUGCAUGCUAUGAUUUCUUCAAUUGCACUGUUAAUUUCUUUACUUGAAAAAUCCAAAUUCUGAUGAACUUCUAUCCAUGUAAUCUUUCUGCUACCAUCACAGAAAUAGUUUGUGCUUGUUUUCCGUAUGCCAACAUGGAGCUCCAGAAACUCAGUUUUCAUACCAGCACCACGUAGCAAUCUAUGUGAUGGAUCUUAGUCCUGAAGUAUUUGCUUCCUGAUCUUUAGAUAGGUCAUGGUAACCACUCCCCAAGUGGAAGUUAUGCUUUAUAGAGGAGAAGAAAUAAGAAAUUACCUCCUCGUUUGAGCCCAGUGCAAUUUGCUGGGUUUGCUACUCAAAAUAAUAAUAAUAAUAAUAAAAAAUCUGAAUAUCUUCUUUCAGUCUGUGGAAAAACACAUCAAUUAAGAUAUUUUGGGGGAUAUUUUCCAUCUGAGCUGAGUUUGGCCCUGUAGCAUCUGUUCUAUGUGUGUAUUUUACUUCUGUUCUCUUAAGUCCAUUGAAUCCUACAGUCCAUCGCAUUCUCUGAGCAUGUUAUCUUUGGCUUCUUGAAACUGUAUUUCGUUAAGUCUGAGAAGUUAUUUGUUGUUUGUAAGCAACAUGCUUAGCUUACUUAUAUGGAGUAUACACUCAGUUUCCCUUCAGAUAGACAAUUUUUUUUUUAGAAAAAUUCUCUUAUUUCUAGUACGUUUCUAAGUCAGAAGCACUUAAAAUAUCUUGUCAUUAAAACUUGGAGUCAGCAACAUAAUACAAAAAUAGAGAGGAAGAAGAAAAAUAUCUGAAGCUUACUGCAUCCAGAUGAAGUAUUGUUUUCCAAACAUUCUUUGCUGCCUGGGAAUCUUGUAUUCUCCAUACUUUCCUUUGACAGACUGUUCUGUUUAAUUACAGCAAAAUCUAGUGGUGAGCAGACCCUUUUGGUUCACAAAGAUAGGCCUGGAAGGAGCAGGAAUUACUUUCUUAAGAGAGUUUUCGGCUGAGAAAGGCUGUUGGUCUAGAGAGAAGGGAAGAGAGCUAAAAAGCAAGUGGUAACAAAAGCAUCUAGAUCAUUUAUGGUGGUAGUUAUUACAUCUGUUGUCAGCGUCACUCUAGAAAACAGUUCCCAUUCUCACUCACUGCCAGCCUCUGAUUUCUUGUCACAGGAUAUGUGUUUACAUCAGCAACCUAUGUAUGUGACUAGUGAAUUAGAUAGAAGAUCUGACCAAAAAUUGGACUUGCUAACUAAAAUCCUAAAAGAUUAUUUUUUCAGAUGAAUCUUUCCAUCUGUGCUGUCAGAAUGGCAGAUAGUGAAUGAGUGGCUGGUGGAUUUCUAGAGAAGAGUCUUGAAGUUUACCAGAUAACUGCCUCAAAAUUAUUCAUGACUUUCAAAGGUGAGAGCUGCAUAUAUCCCAUUGUUUCAUGGUGGGUCUAUCUUAAACAUGCUGGAAUCUUCAGACAUUCUGAUGCGACAAAAACGAUAAUAGAUAUUUUGGCUCUUUAUUGUUUUCUUGUUUGAUAACUGUGUAAUAAUUAUAACUCAAUAAAAAAUUGGAAGGAAUAAUUAACUUAUUUUUCAUUCCAUAAGACAAACUAGCAGUCAUCAGCAUGAGUCUAAUGUGUGAGGGCAGAUUAUCCAAUAACUGCCUACUGUGAGAUUCUUGUGCCUGCAUCUAAAGCAUCUGGUGCUGGCAUCUGAGACAGUGCUGCAGUAGGUGGGCCUUGGGUCUGAUCCAGUCUGUAUAUCUGUAUCCAUAAUUUACUGGGAAAGGUCAGGCACUGAAUGAUGAUAAAGGCUUCUUACUCCCAAGUGUUCCUGCAUGCCUUACUCUUGUUGGAAAUGGUGCAUGUGUGUGUAUAUAAAUAUAUACACAAGGAUGUGUGGUGAGUGAAGUGAAUUACCAGUUGUCCUGGACUGGGAACAGUUGUUCUCUUGUUUGGAUAGCUCUUUAUUUGACUGCCUUGUAGCUUUUCCCUCAGUAUUUCCCUCUUAUUCUUCUGGAAGAAAAGAGUACUUGCUGUUUUUGGAAAGGUAUGGGACUGUGAGAUAAAGAACUAAACUAUGCUGCUAUUUUAUUCAAAAUUUAGUGAUUUACUGAUUUCAUCAGUACCCGACGCUAACGCAUUUUUCCAUUAAGAAAUGCACAGAGCUCAUCUUUUAUAUGUAAGUGGGCAAUGUGGGAAAAACUACAGUGAGUGAAAGAACCCGAUCUGAAAGGGAGACAAAAUAUCUGCUCAUGUUGCUAGGCCUCAAUGAAACCUGGAGAAACACUAACUUCAAUAUUUUGGAGUUUCUUUUCCUACUGAUUUUUUUGCUGUGUUGCUUGUUUGAUGGUGAUUUGAAUUGAAUUCUGGAGUUUGCUCAACCUUAGUGGCAGAAGUAAGUUCCCCUCUGGAAAUUGAGAGGGGAGAGUACAAAGAAGUGGAGGAAAUUAUUCCCUUUCCAGUUUCUCAACCUAAAACUGGGUGGCAUGGUUCCAUGAAAACUGAAGGGCAGUUGUGGUGGGUAUAGAGCUGGUAGGUGAUGAUUCUAAGGGAUCGCUUUGCUGUUAGGUCAGUGAAGUUUUUGGCACUGUCCUCAACUUGGGCGAAGUGUAUGAAAAAUAAAUGGUGGGCAAAAAAAUAGGCAGAACCAUCUGGAAAGUGUGGGGUGAACUGCAAAAUGAAGCAUGAUAGGAAAAGCAGGUAAUAUAAUAAUAAAACUGUCAGAUAUAGGAAAUAUGUUGUGAGGGAGGAAGCAACAGGUCAUGUGUAUAUAUGAGUUUGGAUAAAAUGUUUUAUUCAUUACUCCACGCUCUUCUACUAGAACUGCCUGCCAAACUCUACUAUUGAUACUCCAAGAUUAUUUUCCCAGUAGAUAUUUUCUUUUAAACUAAUAUAUAUUCUUAUAUUGUGUGAAAAGUGCAUUCAGCUUCAGGUCUCACUGAAUUUUGGUGAAGCCUAAAAUUACUAAACUACUGCCAGAAAAUGCGUUGCAUUUGGAAAGAAUUUUUUUUUCCUUUCCCGUGUUUCCAACUUCUUUAAACCCCAAAGCUAUGGAAAAUUUCACAGGGAUGUUUUCUGUAGUUAUAUUUCUGGUCUGCUUUAAAGGAGAGAUGCUUGGUUGAGUGUUCAAGUAAACAGAUUCUAAUCAAAGGUAAAAGUCCCCAUCAAGCUGUGGCUUUGCCAGAGCCUACUUUGUUCUAGUUUUCUUACCUGUCCUAGCUCUGUUACUCUUCAAACAAGUAUUUUAUUAGAGAUCAGGGAAUUUGCUUGUGUGGUUGUUACAGAGACUACCCUAUUGGCAGUUGUUUACCAUAGCAAAUCAUUUUUGAUCCCAAUACCUAUGACAACAGAAGUCUGAGAAGAUUGCAUUUGCUGUUCCUCAUCACAGUGAUUCCUUACAGGCAGAAGAAAUAUCUGUGGCAAAUCAAAUUUGCAUUCAAAAUUUCAUUUAUAAUUAUUGAGGUUAUCGUUUUUUCCUUCUUCUCUGUGUACGUCCUCUUAAUGUGCUAAGUGUAAAUUUUCUAAACUCAAUGCGUUGCACAAGCUAGAAAAGUAGGAAAUAACUCCUAAAAGAACUGCUGCCAGAUCUUUGAAGCACGUACCGAGUUACUGAAUCUGAAAUACAAUGUGCAAGAGUUGCUCUACCAAGUUUAGAAAGUUACAGUAUGUGGAGUGAUGAGACUCCUUUUGUUUUGCAAAGAAUAACUAGAUGGCAAAGAGAAAUAUGGAAUGUUUUUAUUACUUAAUGACACAUACUACUUUUCAGUUGCUUAUAUUUUUAAUUGCUGUUUUUUCUUUUCAUAUUAAAUGUUACAGUGAGAAGCAGCUACUAACGUGAGUAAAUAGAUUUCUAAUUGCACUUUUUGCUUUUUGAUCUGUAGAAGACUGAAAAUCUGAAGUGUAAACAAGAUCGUUAUAAGCUCUUUUGCAGUCUGGGGUUAGCAGUUGGGGACGUAUCUUCAGAAGUGCUGUAGAGAUUACAAGUAGUUCUUGUGCUCGUAUAGACUACUUUUCAAGAUCUGCGAGGUCAUAUUCCCAGGCUUUUGUAUGUGUGGAGGAAUUCAACCAUUUAUACUUAAUUUCAAAUGAGUGUUUUUACAAAUGGGCGAAGGAAGCAGUGCCUCGCUUACCACGUUAAAUAAGGUGGUGGAUGGUCAGAUGUUUAUAUUUGGCUCCUAUUGGUCAGCUACCAACAAGUUUGAGCUCAGUCUGACAAAAUCUUGUUCAGUCAUUUUCUUCUUGCUCCUUCUCUUAGUUGGAGAUUUUAGCCUUUAUAAAACCACCGUGUCUUUCAUUUAUACUUUAGAAACUGUAUGGGAGGAGAAAAGCUAAGUAACCUGGCUGUUGAAGUAUUUGUGGCUUGUUUGGUUUUAAUUUGUUUAUGCUGAACAGCUGGCUCUUUGUAUUCAGGAAGCCCUUUCCAGCAAAUUAGGUGUGUCUGCCUCAUGGUGGUACUUAGCUGAUCUUUCCAAACUUUUCUGAAACUACUUGAAAACCAAGUAAGUGUCAUCAAAUUUUACCUAAUAAAAGUGGUUUCCUGCGCUUUGAUUCCUACAUGUAAUCCAUUUAGCCGUUUAAUUUCUUAUUGGAAAGGCAGGUAUACUAAGGGAAGUUUGUGAUCUGAUAUGCCUAGAAGUUGAGUUUGCUAAAGUUGAGGCUACUACCCAUCUUCCCUUUCAAGAAGUAAUUUUGACUGUUUGUCCUAGAUCUGAGAAUGAAGGAUUUGUAUCAUCAAGCAUUAGCUUGCGAUUGUGUUGGAACUCAACAAGGUGAAAUCUCUUAUUUGUUGUAGUGUUUCUUUAUAUUGGACUGAAUAAUAUAUUGAUAAUUUGUAGGAACAAAGAAAAACAUUUGCACAUACAACCCUAUCUAAAUCACCUGGGUCUUUAUGAUUGAAAACUAGCUGUCUUUUUCCAUGUAGACUUUUCUUGCCUGCUUUUGUGUAAACACAUCUGGUUUUAAGAAUUGUAGAUAUGCAUCUUGCAAGAUAUUUUGAUGAGUCUAAAAAAUAAACUUUAAGAGAUUUUUAAAUUAUCUCUUUUGUUGUGUUGGUUUAGCCUGCUUUUUUUUCUGUUCCCUUAUCAAACUGUUUGUUGCACACGCUCUAGAAUAUGUAUUUUUCUUCAUAAAUUGUGCAGUAUAAGCAAUUGGUGAACCGGGGAAUUAACUUUUUUAAAAUGUUAAACAGUUCAGGCAGUUUCCGUGUGAAUAUUUUUAAGGAAAAUAUAAGCUUUUUUAUUUUCACAAUUGAUGUGUUUUCUAAUGUCACAUACAAUUUGAAAUCUGAUUUCUCGUUGUUAAUACUCUCCUGUGUUGAUCUGAAAUUCAGUAAAGGUGUGUUUUUGCAUUCAUUCUAAUGCCCAUUUUUGUCUUUCAAAGGUAUUGUAAACUGGUAGGAGCAUAAAUGGGAAUGAGACCCUAGCAAAGGCAUUAUAGCAAAUGCUUUUUAAAUGUGAGGUAAUUAAAGCAAUACUAUCUAGAAUGGCUAAUCAGUAAGAGCUGAAGCCUCUUCUGCAAUGUGCGAGCACCUGAUUGUGGACUGAGUAUUCUUUCAUGAAGCUUCAUUUAUUUCUAUUCUCUAGUAUGAUUCUGCAGCCUAUCCAUUCAAUCUGUUCAUCCAGUGGAAUCUACAGAGUGCUUUAAGAAGACAGGGUUUGUCUAUGAAGAGACUGUAUGUGCCAUUAUCUCCUAAAACUAUGUUUUCUAGAAAGCUUUCCUGUUUUGUGUGAUAUACUUUCACUUCUGCAGCAGAAGCUUAGCAAAUGGGAUGCCAAAGGCUGGUGUUGUUAAAAAACAUUUCUGCUCUACAGGAGUAGAGCUGGACACACUGUAGCUGAGUGUGUGUAGGUGGGAAGAUGAGGUGUUUUUGUUUGUUUGUUUUUGUCUUUGACAUGUUCUGGAAUUUUGGCUGCCUGUACUCUCUCCAUCUCUUACUUUCUGCUAGUGUACAUUUAGCAACUGAACCUUGGCAACCAAGUAUACAAGACAGCAGGUGACAGUAGAGCAGGAAAUUAUGCUAUUGACUCUGCUACCUCUUGGACUUAUGACCUCAGCAGAAUAUUAUGGAGUAAGCUUUAUGAAACAUGCAGACAUUGACCAUAAAUUGCUAUCAGUUCGGGUUGGUUUUUUGGGGUUUUUUUUUUUUUUUUUUUUUUUUUGGUAAAUACUUGUCUUUAGACCACAAGGGAUUUGUUUCUGUAUCUGUGCAUUUUUUGGUAUUUGAUGUGUUUUGGUAUGAACACAAACUUGACUCAAGUGCUUAGAUGUUAAAACAGCUUCCCACAUGUUUUGGUUUGUUGCCAGGGAAAGGUGAACGUUCAGCAUAAAUGCUGUAUUUAAACACUAGUCAAAUAUUUGUUGAAUGAAUGACCUGACAAGGAUGUGGUUGAACUAAAAUGUACAGGCUGUAUUUCAUAAAAGUGGAAAGCUUUAUUAAUAUUUGGAGAAUGGCUCUAAUUAGUCUUGACUGUUGGUAGGUGUGUUCACUUUAUCAAUGUUCACACAGUAUAGCCUUUUUCACCAACUUAUAAUUGGCAGUUUCCCAUAGGAAAUAAUCAUUAUUGGUAUUAUAAAAGCACUUUGUAUCUAUCACACUUGGGAAAUGAAAGUUUUGCAGAGGUCAAAAUAAAGUAUGCCCCCAAUUAUGCUAAUAAUUCAUACCACAAAUGAUCCCCUGGAAGGUUUAAUAGUGUGGUAAUACUCUCAGACUUCCUUUGAGUGGGAAAAGAUCGUAUUGCAUUUGAUAUUCUAUAGAAAGAUUAAAAAAAAAAAGAAAAAAAAAAAAACAAGGGGAAAAACUGAUUUGUCGCAGUGACUUGAGGAUCACAAGGUUUUUGUUUUUAAAAUAAUAUAAAAAGUGUCCCACUUCUUCUUCACUUAAGUUUUUUUAAAUUUUUUUUACUUUCAAAACAGUAAAACGUGGCAUUUUUAUUUGCAGUUUGACAUUAUAAUCUUACACACCUGUGUCCUUUGCUGCAGAGAAGGUGUUGAAGUCAUUUAAAAUAGUAAUGUGUUUAAAAAAAAAAACAACUAUUAAAAGCCAUUAAAAAAAAAUAAAGCAAGCUGAAUUUUUGUUUUGCUUUGCCAAAUUAAUUUCCUUUAUUUCCUCUUGCAGUUCACUUUAAAGAUUUAGUAGUUGGACUAUCCAGAACUUCUCAAAACAUCAGAAACAAAUCUUCAGAAUAUAGUUAAAAAAUAUUUGAUCCUGCAUCUUCUCAAUGUUGUAGCACAUCCACCAGGCAGGUCUUUCUACCAGAUCGUCUGUUUUACAUGAAAUGGACUUUUCUUUUGGAAUUCUUGGACUAAAACAUUAGUGAAAGGCUAAAUGGGAUAAUGUACUCCUGCGACUGAUUAUGCUAACACACCUGCAGUCAGUGCGCAUCUCCUGAGUUCUUAAACAAUAUUAAAAAGGGCAGUCUGAAAGCUAACAUUUGCAAAUGUCUCCAAAUUGAAUUAUAAAUGUCUCUGGUAAACAAAAUGUUUGCCGUGUGUUGUCAGAUCCACUUAAAAUGUCUGGCUGUAUCAGGUGUGCGUAUUUUGCAGCACACUUGAAAACAACACGGAAAGUAAUGAAGCAAAUAGCUUAGGUUUACUUGUCUUUUUUUGAAAGUGUAGAACCAUAUUUUAAUUAUACGUUUCCUAGUUUAAAGUGGUUUUCUUUUUCUCAAAGUCUUCUCUAGAAGCCUUCCUUGAAGAGAGGGGCAGUUGGUUUAUUUCUCUUCUUAGUUGAACUGUAAAUAAGGAAUGUUGACAUGUAUGAAGUUCAUGUAGAGGGCUGAUCAGAAUUUGCAUACCCUGUGAUUUUGAGCUGCAUUAGGAAAGUUACUGAUGUCUGCUUUUUAAAAGGUAUUGUUUUGCUUCCUGUAGACGUUAGUGUUACAGCAAUGCUGCCUUCAUAAAAUGUAUGCUACAAGAACAUUCUUUUGCAAUAAUUUUGUGAAAAGCACGGCCUUUCUUAUGCAAACAUUUUUAUCUGAACUACAUUCUGGUGCAAUUGACUACGCUUGUACUUAUGGAACAGAAUGGGUGUGAGCUGCUGGUAGGUGUGAACUUGAAUUUUGACCACGUCCUCCUGCAAUUAUUUUUCUGUUUUGACAUUUAUUUUUUCAUUCUAAGUUGUCAUAUAAUAUGCUUAGUAUUAAGAACACAGACCUUUAGCAUCUACUAGUUCUCUUCAAAUGCAGGUUACUUCUCUUCAGUGCAGAAAUGUCUCCAUUACUCUAGUCAAACUGUUCCUGUUCAUACCUAGAUGAGUAUUUCUACGAAAAUGCACAUAAUCAUGUGUCUAGAAGAUAAAGGCAGAUUUGUUACAUUUAUAUGGUACAGUGUAUAUGCAUGCAAUUCAGUGCAGGAUUCUGAUUUCUGUACGUUACAUACAAAAUAUAUUGUACUGUCUAAAGCAAAUACUGUGUUUUAAGUAUCAGGUGAAGAAUGGAAGUUAAAAUGUGAGUCCAAAAAUAAGUUUAUUUAGCAUCUGUGGUGAAAUAGAUGUCUAUAUUUACAAACAGAGAGAUGCAGAACUCCUUAUUUAAGUAUUGUUUCAUUGAACUUUUUAAGAACUGUGGUUUCUGCUUCAUGGCUACAUGAACAAUUAAAAUCUUUGAAUUUUUUUGACUGUCCUAAUUAUUUUUUUUCCUGUGAAGCUUGCUAAUAUUGGUCUCAUUCUGCUUACUCUACUAGCGAGUCAAGUAUGUCUCUUGAUUAUACAUGUGAUUUUAGACCAAUGGGGACAAACUGAUCCAGUUUUUUCCUUCCUUCCAGGUGCAAUUAUGGGUCUCAAUAUAAUAAAAAUAAAAUGAUUGAAUAUCUACAGAGGUUCAUAUGACAUAUUUUCCAUUUAUUUUAAGUUUUGAAGCUAGAAUAUCUUAAUUGAUAAUCCCAUAAGGUUUAUUUUUUCAUGAGCUCUCUUUUAUCUCAGAGGUUCUGUAUUUUCAGGGUAUUGCUAGUUCUGCAAAAUGUGGCUGUCAGACUAUUGUAAUUAUAGGCCGAAUUCAUCUUGCAGUUAAGGGAAAAAAAAUCCAAUGGUUUUAGUGGAGGAAAAUCAGAUUUAAGGAAUGGAGCCUGAGUAGUCCUUAAUUGUUCUAAUCCCUGCACAAAUUUACAGUCAGGAUACAUCACAGUCACUGUACCAUCUUGUAUCAGUCGAAUCUUCCUUGAUGUGAAAUAUAAGGAAGAUCUCUUAUUCAGGAGUCUGCAGUAUAGCCUGCUGAGAUCAGUGAGAUCAGCUUUUCCAUUUGUGUGAAUGUGCUGUAAGAGAAAUCAAGGAGAUUCAUAUAUAUAUAUAUUUUAAUUCCUUCUCUAUUUCUCAAGUUUACUUCAAUUUCUUUCAUUUGGUUGGCAAGACUGUUGGCAUGAUGAGGGCUUCUUACGAAGUCUUGCAGCACUCAUCGAAAACUUUGUAGCCUACCAAGUUUUUGGUGGCAUUAGUAUUUUUGUUGUUGUUUUGCAACGUGCAUUUUAGUGUAUAUCAUCUGUAUGUAUCCGUGUUCUUGUGCUGAUGUGAUUUUACUCCCAUCCUGUAGUCUCCUGUAAAUCUAUCAACAGCCAGGUCCGCUGUGGGCAGUGUUGACUUGCGAUACAGGAGUAGAUGACUUCUUUUUCAGUGACUGGUUUUGGACAGCUCACAUCACUUAGCUGUUUUUCUGUCACUUUAAGAAUUCUUCAAAGAAAAGUGCCCCUCCAUCUGUCAGCAGAGCAGUUAGCAUAAUAAAGCCAGGAUGUGUGCUCGUAUCGUGAUAUGCUUCUGCAUUUCUGGUAUUUUUAUGUGGCGGGAGCUAUUCUGUUUGAGGAAUUAUUGCUCUCAGUUCUCCUCUUAGAAUCUCAGUUCCAUUAAGGUUAAAACAAACAAAAAAAAAAACGAGAAAAAUCAAGUACCCGAAGAAUGUUCUGGUGUGAUGUGUCCAUUAUUAACUUUUUUUUUCAGAUGUAGAGUUAAUGUGUUUAAGUAUACGAUCUUAAUCCCUCAGUCCUUCCUCAGGCAUUGAUUUUUGUUUUCUUUGCUUCAGUAAAACAAAUGGUCCCAGGCUCUAAGUAAAGGGAACAUUUCCCAUGCUCCUCUAGACGUUUCUAAACACAAACUUUUUAUAGAAUUGUUAACUUUACAGAAAACACCAAAAAUCAAGGAGGACACUAUUUCACUAUUUCAAGUCCUUUGCUUAGGCUGAGGGCUGUGGAGAUGGAGAUUUUGUUUUUUUGCUUUCGGUGCUUGUGCAGUAGGGCAAAGAUGUUGCUUCCAUGUUGUUUGUCUGAGUGCUAAUGCAAAAGCUGAACCAAUUAGAGGUUUGUGUGUUGCUGGACUAAGCAAACAAUGUGGCCACUUGUGUUUCCUUUAUUUUGCUAGUACUAAAACUGUAUCGAGAGUAAAGAAGUGAAUACCAUAUUGAUUUGCUGCUGAAGCAACAGGUGAAAAUGUCAGUCAUCUUAACACAAAUGGAAAUGCUGCUUUUGUUUAGGAUGUCAGGAUUUCAACAGCUGUGCCUGUCUUAAGCGUGCUGGUUGCAGAAAUUAAAUGUAAUUAUAAGCUAAUUCUAGGUUACCAUUAGGCUAGUGCUAAUGGAACAAGUCCCUGACCUCUUCAUGGAUAAUGUGGUUUUAAUCACAAAUAGAUUUUUCUCUUGUUUUUACUGCCCAUCUUCAAUACACUAUUGCUAUGUAAAAGGUUCAGCACUUUCUCGGUACCGUGUUUUCCCAUUGUGUAUCUCAAGUAUAUGAGUGUGCAGACUGCAGCAGAACAUUAAAAACAGUUCCCAGGGAUUUGGUGAAUUAACACUUUGUUCUAGAAUUGCUGAGUAGCAUAUUAGGGCAGCACACAGGUAAGCAUUUGAUGGGUUGGAUGUGUUAGACCACAGCGGUCACUCUUCACAGCUAAAGUGAAAGGCUGCAGAACACAGAAUUCCUUCAGAAGUCCAAAGGGUUGUCUUUGAUUCUGGGUUUGUUUCUGAAGAAUUAAACAAAAAUCCUCUGCACAAAACCACAGCACCACAAAAGCAUCAGUGAAACAGGGUUUGUUAGAUACUGCCAGCUAAAUGGUGCAAAGAGAAAACAAUGUUAUCAUGCAGCUCUUGCUUUUUAUUUUCAUACGUUGGUGUUAACAUAUCAAGCUUACAGCUGAGGCCUUUAAAUCUCUGGUUGAGUAGUUUGAAGUCUUGUUUGUCUUGCAGGUGAAACCGUACAAAUGCCAGAUGGAGACAUCAGUAGAUUUAUUUUUUUCAAGUUCCUCUCUUUCUUCCAUAGCAGCAGAGCGGAGUAGGAUAUGUUGUUGACAGUGCCUUUCUUAAAGCUAUUUUUUUUCACAGAGAAUUCUCGGUUGCUGUGGGUCUGAAGAAUAUUUGGCAACCAAAGAGAAAGAGCUGAGAAGUUAUUGCAAACAAUCAUUGACUAAUAUGCAAGAGGAGCGUACUGUUAACUUUAGUAGCAGAAGGAACUGUAGCUAGUCAGUUGUUAGCUUGGUCGGAGUUUGAGUAAGUGGUUGUAUUUGUCUCCAUUUCAGUAGUUUCAAGGUAUAUUUUAAAAGCUUAAUUUGGCAUUAAAGUACUCCCUCAGAAUACAGGAGAAGACAAAAGCCAUAACGUUUGUUGUACAAACUGAGUGUAGAAAGAGUUUGACAGUAUAAAAAUCCAGAUGUUUGUUUUCCUGUAAUCUAUUUCCUGUUUGAUGUACGGAAAAUUCUCGAUCAGUGGAAGGUAAGAUCGACAUCAACGCAGACAGCUCCCUAAACAGCUUCAGUCGUUAUUAUUGAUAUAGUGUUUAAUUCCAUAUUAAGCAAUAAGUGGAGACGGUCCUUUUUUGUUUGUGUAGAGAUUUAGAAAUAAUUGUAUUGCCCUUAAUUCUUCUAGUUUUUGUCAGGAAAGACAUUGAAGACAAAUAGAACGGUGACAAAGCUAAUAAUAGGUCUUCUAUGCCGUGCUGCUUUUUUUUUUUUUAAUAUUUUGCCAAACUGGAGCAUUUUUACAUCCUUGUGAUUUUAGGUUGAGUCGUCUUUUACAAAAGUGGAAAAAGAGAAAUAUAGUGAUUUAAUUUCAAUUCGAUUUCAGCUGUGUUGAUUCAGGUCUUGUGCAUGAAGCUUUCAAAACAACAAAACUUUAUAAUUACUAUUUUUAUGUAUUUUUUAAAAAGGGAUUAACCUAUGGUCUCUGGUUUCUUUUGGUCAUGCAACAUUUCUAGAAUUCUACUGCUCAGCUUGCGUACUUACUUUUUUGAUUGCUGUAUGCAGAUUUUAUAGUGGUAUGUGCUUACUGGCAAUUUUACUCUUAACAACAGUUGUGAAAAUGUACUUGGGGUUCUUUUAAAUAACAAGAGAAAUCCUGGAGCCUCAGGAACUAGGAAUGGGAGUACACAUGUGCAUGGUACUUAAACCUACAGAGUUUGACUUAUUUCCUAGUGUGCCUGAUGCUCACAUUGCUUUGUAUGUUUCUGUAUAUUUCAUAUGCAAGUAUUUGCCUAAGUAAUUUUUAGGGACAAGUACUUCUAAGUACACUAAGGCAGCUAUUAUCUUCAAAGCCUCUACAAUGCUUCUGGCACUAUAGGAGCAUGUAACUGUAUGAAUAAUUGAAUAUCAUCUACUUGAACAGUUAGUAAAAUAGGAAGCUACAGUGCAUGUAUUAUUUGCUCAUUGCAUCUGUUCUGUCUGCUCCUCCUGUGAGGUCUGCGUAUGGUGGACAAAUGUAAAUAUUGUAUGUGUAUAUGUAUAUACCACAAAUGGUAAUUACUAUUGGUAGAAAUAGUUUUUAGGAAUGCUGUCUUAGGCCACCAAACCCUCUGAAUCAGGAAUGCCAAAACUCCUUGGGUAUGCAGAAUGAUCACUCUUUAGAGCAUACAUGGUCUGUCUUUUCAGUUUUUGUAGUAAAUGCUGCUUGUGGGAAGAGGAUGAGGUUUUGCAUUGUCUCUGAAAUUCAGGAAGGUGCAUGAGGGAUGGCUGGUAUGUAUCAAAGCUGAGACUGGUGAGGAGCACUGGAUCAGAUGCAGUGCUGCUGUGCUGUGGGAAGGCACGAAGGAACUGUUCUCACAGGGCAGCUUGCCAGCAGGUCUGAGCAGUGACAGGAUGAAGGCAGUAGUACCUCUGGAUUUCUGCUGCUCUUCCUUGAUGAGGGAGAGCAGGCAGUGGAAGAGCAUGUGCUAGGCUGUUUGAGACUUUGUAUUCAGUGGUCCUUCUCUUAUCUUCCAGCCCAGCAAGCUUUCCUGAACUUGGAUGGAUUUUACGUGUAGUGAAAAGGCACAGGCACCAAUACUUACAUCCUCAACCCCUACAGCUGUUCAGAAAUCCUUGCAAUUGGUGGCAGCUAGAUCUCUCAUGCAGUGUGAUUCUGGAUUUCCUUCCUCUUCUCUUCUAAUGAAGGAGGGAUUCACCUUUUCAAAUAUGGAGCAGUAACCUUCUCCCUCCUCCCACUUAUUUCAAUUAUCAGGUGUGCACUAUAUCUAGGAAUCUAAUUUUAAAUUAACUUGUCACCCUACAUCCCAUCUGUAGGGGUUUACAAUUUUAAAACAAUUGCCUUUGAGGUGACUUUAUAUACUGCUCCAUUAAUAUAUACGUAUCAAUUCUAGGGCACUUACAAACUGUGGAAUAAAAUACCCUUCUGAACAAGAUGAGGGAACAGAUGCAGUUCGUAUUUGAUUUGCUGUAGAAUCAGAGCUGUGAUAUGUCAGACUUAAUGGUGAGUGGGGCUGUGAUUGGCUUAUAGUAAUUGUAUAAAUACCAAGCUAUUUUAGGGCAAUAUUAGAGCAGAAAUACCAUCAAGUACCAGAUGGACUUUAUCUUGAUUGUGUUAUAUUAUCUGUGGAUAUUUUAUUAAAAUAUAGGAGGGACUGAAAGUCAGUUCAUGCCUGAUUUAGUAUUUAGAUGACCGAAGGUAUUGACUUCCACUUGAAAGCAUUUUACAUUAAUUUUAUUAAAGAAUUAUGUAAAUAAAAUGAUGGGAGGUAAGAUGAUAUUUAUGAGACUGGUGAAUCCCUAGAUUUCGUAGUGGUAUGUCAUGCUGGUGUUGAUGAUAUGAAAGAGUGAAAUUUCUGUGUGAUUUUGUGCUGCUUUUGCUGUUACAGCUCCAGGAAGGGCAGCAUCACACUCAGCUCAGCAACUAGCUUACAGUACAAAGGCUGCAGUCACCUGGGGCAAGAAGCAGCUCUCUAUGACUGAAAAGAACCAUACUUAUUUUUACACUACAAUGCUUAUCUUGUUCUUAAUUACUUAAUUCUUUAUCCUGAGGUAAAUGGCGUUAGUAUUGUGAUAGAGAAAAAUCAUUUUCUUUCAGAAAGGAGACUUUUUUCCUUUCCCAUUCAUGCCCCUACAGUCGUGUCACUACCAAUGAAAAUCUUUCAUCUUUGCUGUCAGGAAUAAACCGAUAGCUUCUUUUAAAGCAAAAGAGAGCCUCCUUUGCACUUCUACGUACAUCUGCAGCAGAAUGACUAGGACAUGAAUAAUCUGAGUUCCAAAACCCCCUGGCCUUUCUCUCAGUCACCCAGCUUGGCUAGGCUCUUUCUUGAAGGGGCAUGGUAAUGCUGAGGGGUCACUUGGAAUCAGCAACCUAGGAGUCAGGAGCAGCAACAAGGGCAAAGAAAAGGUGCAUGUGAGGGAGGGCAGGGAAGAGAUGAAGCAGUGCCUGAACUGUAGUGUAGUGGCCAGGGAAGAUGGCAUCUGUCAAAUAACUACAUUAGUGAGGGACUAAAUAAAUAAACAAAGGCUCCUCUCAGUGCAAGUGUAAGAUUUUAUCAUUCUAUUAACAAAAACCAGACCUGGCUGUUGUUCUAAAAGUCCUUAAGUAGAUGCUUACUGAAUCUUUCAUUGAUUGUUAAAAAUUAACUAGGCUGUUGUUCUUCUGCUUAGUUUGUGCGUAUUAGUUUGCUUGUUAUACGUGUAGUACAACUUCUGAAGCAUAAGUAGAAAAACACAAUUGCCUUUUGAAAGUUUAGAUGACCAGUUCAUAGCAACAGCAAAUUAACCCACUGAUUAACAGAUCCAACAUUCAAUCUCUGUGUUUCAGUAGCAAAAGGACUGGUGAUUGUUGAGCUCCUAAAUUGCAAAAGGAGCUAGCUAUGUGCUAUGAUUGCAGAAAGGCUACUCAUUUGAACAUAAUUCCAAGGAAUUUAUUAUAGAGGCCUUAUUCAAAGAAAGAUCUGUGCAAAUUCUGUGUCUGUGAUUCAAAAGGAGUCAAAAUACACUGAAAUGGUAGAGUAUUCUCUCUAAAGAGAAUAUGCUUCAAAAACAGGAUUCAUAAACAGACAGAUAUCCAGCCAUGUGAUGUACCCUGAGGCAAACUUGCAGAAUGAAGCUGGGGAGGCUGUUUAGCUCAGUAACAUGGGAAUAUUUUCCACAGCUUUGCCUUAAUAGCCUUUGCAUAGAUCUGUUUUUAUUUGAGGGGGUAAAAAGGUGAUUAAGUGGUAGUGACAGGGAAAAUGAGACGGGUUGUGGAAAUAAAGCUGAACAAUAUUUUUUUAAUAUAUAUUUAAAGAUAUAAAUUCAAAUAUAUUCUCAGUUAACUGCUAACUCUUCUUUCAGUAUGUAUCAUGCAGCUCUGUGUACUCAUGCUAAUGGAACUAAAUGAGGGUGGGUAGGAGAUGCUUCCUACAUAGCUACAAUGUACUGCGGAUUUUAGACUUUGUCUAACGAUCCCAUCUUGUGCUUUCCCUGCGUAUGGAAAACAAAAUCUCUAACCGUACAAAUGUGCUUCGGGUUAAUGUUGUGUGUACAGUGAAGACUAGUCGGGGAGAUGGAAGUCUUCCAUUCUUGAUAUUUACUUAUUUUGAAUCCAGUGUAUCUGUUGUACUGACAUUCACUUCUGUGCUAUGUAUAUACAAUAAAAAAUGUGCCCAUAGACAAAAAGAAAAAGGCAUCAAAACAAACCAUCAGCAACUCUCCAGAGUAUCUGAUGAGUUUCUUUUUUGUUGUUAAUGUCACUCUGCCUCAUAGAAACAUUCUUUUAACAGUGAAACAUGUGCUAUACAUAGCAAAAAAGGAUCUCAAAAAUAUGUUUUUUUUUUCCAUACACUCAACGCUGGAAUUAGACAAGUAAUCCAGUAGGACAACAUACUACAAGUGCUUAAAGAAGAGAAAACAUAGUAAAAUAGAAGUAUUACCUGCAAGUAUACUUCUAUACGGAUAUGUAAUAUGCAUAUAUAUUUAAAACUAGUCAUAAUGUAUCUGUUUUUAAAUUAGAAAUAUAAAAAUAGAUAAAAUAUGUUUUAUAAAUGCAGGGUUAACUUGGAUAUAUAGUUGCAUGCACAUGUAUGUAUGAGAGGUAUAGAAGAGGUACUCUUCUAUAAUACAGAAAGAAGAAAAAAAAGCUUGGAGAAAAAGAAAGAACAAGGAAAACAAAGUGGUUGCUCAGUUUUAGUACAAAACUAGUUUGAGGAAAAAAAAAUCAGUGUUUUUGAUAGUUCCAAGACCUAGUCUCUGAGGAUACUCAAUUCCUGAGAUGUGCUCUCAGCGUGGCACAUUCCGAAUCCUGUGUCUGGAACCUGUAAGAUAUGCAAUGUUCUGGUCUGAAUGAGGCCUCUGGAAGCGCUUUGUGGGUGCUGAUGCUCUAUGGGUUUGUUUUCAUGGGAAGUGAAGCACAUCAAAACUGUGCUUGAGGAAAACUUAAAGAUUGAUACUGUGAUUCUAAGAUUGCAAAAGACCACUAUGAUCAUCUAGUCCAACCUAUCAGUCCAUCACCAGUAUACCCACUAAACCAUUGACUCUGUGUGACAUCUGCCCUUUUCUUGGAAACCUCCAGAGGCAGUGACUCCACUACUUCACUGGGCAGCCUGUUCCAAUGCCUUACCACUCUUUCUGAGGAGCAAUUUUUCCUAAUCUCUAACAUGAACCUCCCCUGGCACAAUUUGAGGUCAUUCCCUCUAGUACUAUUGCAUGUGAUGUGGGAGAAGAGGCUGACCCCCUUUGCAGUAGUUGUAACGGGCGGUAAGGUCUCCUCUCUGUGCUGUUGUAAGUCAUCUUCCUACUGGUAGAUUUCAACUCUACCAUUUAUAUUUAUCAGAAGGCAGCUAGAAAAUAAAUAGUGGGUCUUUCCUCAGUUUGUUUACUUUGUGCAUUAGAGAGUGCUCCAUGAAUUACAGUUCCUCUUCUCUUAAGUAGUCAAUCAGGCAUGCUUCUGUUUCACUUGUGGUGGAGAUCAAUUUAAAAGGUUACUCAGUCCCAGGAGAGAGAAGUAUGUUUUAGGAAAUAAGUAAAUGAAAUUGUAAAAUGAAAGAAACAGUUGGGUGAGAGCAGGGAGAACGCAGUAAGAUGAAGUCUCUUGGCUUUGUUUAUAACAUACUUGUUUUUAUUCGGCACAAAGAGGUCAAUAAUGCUGUGAUUUUUACAUGGUUAAGAUGCAUUGCACUUCUUGGUCUCAACCUAAACUGCAUUGCAGCUACAUGAAAGGGUUCCUUCACAGGGAGGCAGGCAUAGACUUGAAUCUGUUUUGCUUUGGUCAGGGAACAGUAAUAAUAGAGAAUUUUAGGGAUAGGUCCACAAAACAGGGUUGUUAUUUCCCCAGCAAUAAGUAAGUCUUGGGAAGAGAUUAACUGCUAAUGUGCACUGAAGGAACAGUAUUUAAAUAGCUGCUGUUACCAUUGUAAGCUUUAAACAAAACUAGAUACAGAUGUGUUUACCCUAUCCACUUCUCUCAUUUUUCUGUUUUCGUAAGCAUGGUUUAAAGCUAUGUAAAGAAGAAAAAGCAGGUAUGGAAAGGAAGGGCACGUUCUUGCACCAGAAGAUGUUUUGAUGGCUUAGCUACUAGGCGACAAUUUAUUUCUGUACUCCAUGAAGCUGGCUGUAAGGAAUAGCUUGUUUUGAUUUUUUUUUCACUGUUCAAGAGAAAUAUAGCUCAGACUUUCAAGGAUUUUUUCCUUGGGUGACCUGCAGCAUUCUUUGUUUUUGUUUCUGUGUAAAACUAAAGGUUAGGUGGUGUGUGGUUUUAGUUUUUCUUCUUUUUCUUCCACAGAGCGUAAGCUUUUGAAAGGGAGAGGACAUGCCAGUGUUACUAAAGUGUAAUUUUCUAUUUUGGUUGGGGAACUUAGCAAAGGCAAAUCAUGGAAAAAAUAUGUCUAGUAAGUAUGAACAGUAGCUGUUCUGUAUUAUUGAAGUAUUGCUUUGUCCUAUGUAACUCAAGUACACACUCAAGGAAUUAAAGCGUCAGUAACUUUAUGGAGAGAAAAAUAUGUAAAUAUACUUGUAAACAUGUAUUUUCAUUUUUCAGUCUCCAUACGUAUGUAUGGAAAACCAGAUUAUGUUUAACGUUAUUUGUGCUUGUUUCCUUUAAAUGUAUUUUAACUUCUGUGCAAGAUUCCCUUCUUCUGAGUCUUAUUUUCUUUUGGAUGGAGUUAACACAUUUUUCUUGCAUUUAAAAAAAAACCCUGCCUUCUUGUUACCAUGCUGAUAAUUGUUGAUCUUUUUGAUUCUUUAAGUGUAGCAGUGUACACAUUAAACACUUCGGCUGUCAGAUUAGGACUUUAAAAGACAACAGCUUUCAAAGUGUAUGAUGGGUAUACGUGGCUGUAUACUUUCAUUUCUUCUUAACUCUGAUUCUAUUUCAUCAAUUGCAGCACAAAUACAUUUUGAAUAUUUAUUAGAGCAUUGUUCAUGCUUGCUCAGGCAUAUUUUCACACUUAAUUUGUUUGUAGGCUAUUGGAAAACAGUAGCAAAAAAAUCUUUCUGAGUAAAUCUUUGUUCUUAGUGGAAUUACUUCAACUCAAGUUGAUGGCUGCUUUGUUUCCCUUUGUUAUUGGAGCAGGAUUGUCCUUUCUGAGACAUAUUUUUAGUAAUAUUUUUAAUGGAAUAAAUAUAUGCUAAUAAAUUUCACUGGCAGCAAAAUCUGGAAGUAUUUUAUGCCAUCCAGAGGUUUUAGAAUAGGUUUUUAAAUGUGUUUUCUUCAAUCGAUCGUUUCAGAAGGAGAG